GUAGGUGGCAAGCGUUGUCCGGAAUUAUUGGGCGUAAAGCGCGCGCAGGCGGUUUCUUAAGUCUGAUGUGAAAGCCCACGGCUCAACCGUGGAGGGUCAUUGGAAACUGGGGAACUUGAGUGCAGAAGAGGAAAGUGGAAUUCCACGUGUAGCGGUGAAAUGCGUAGAGAUGUGGAGGAACACCAGUGGCGAAGGCGACUUUCUGGUCUGUAACUGACGCUGAGGCGCGAAAGCGUGGGGAGCAAACAGGGAUUAGAUACCCUGGUAGUCCACGCCGUAAACGAUGAGUGCUAAGUGUUAGAGGGUUUCCGCCCCUUUAGUGCUGCAGCUAACGCAUUAAGCACUCCGCCCUGGGAGUACGGUCGCAAGACUG
rnacentral:rRNA from 1 species